rnacentral:rRNA from 1 species
ACGGCCCUAUGGGUUGUAAACUUCUUUUAGUACGGGAAAAAACCCCCGGUCCGGUGUACCGGGGCUGAUGGUACCGUAAGAAUAAGCAUCGGCUAACUCCGUGCCAGCAGCCGCGGUAAUACGGAGGAUGCAAGCGUUAUCCGGAUUCAUUGGGUUUAAAGGGUGCGCAGGCGGAAUGAUAAGUCAGUGGUGAAAUCCUACGGCUCAACUGUAGAACUGCCAUUGAUACUGUCAUUCUUGAGUACACUUGAAGUGGGCGGAAUGUGUCAUGUAGCGGUGAAAUGCUUAGAUAUGACACAGAACACCGAUCGCGAAGGCAGCUCACUAAAUUGUAGCUGACGCUCAUGCACGAAAGCGUAGGGGAUCAAACAGGAUUAGAUACCCUGGUAGUCCACGCCGUAAACGAUGAUCACUCGAUGUUGGCGAUACACUGUCAGCGUCUAAGCGAAAGCAUUAAGUGAUCCACCUGGGGAGUACGGCCGCAAGGUUG